UACGAAGGGGGGCUAGCGUUGCUCGGAAUCACUGGGCGUAAAGCGCACGUAGGCGGCUUUCUAAGUCAGGGGUGAAAUCCUGGAGCUCAACUCCAGAACUGCCUUUGAUACUGGAGUGCUUGAGUCCGGGAGAGGUGAGUGGAACUCCGAGUGUAGAGGUGAAAUUCGUAGAUAUUCGGAAGAACACCAGUGGCGAAGGCGGCUCACUGGCCCGGUACUGACGCUGAUGUGCGAAAGCGUGGGGAGCAAACAGG
rnacentral:rRNA from 1 species